GACGAACGCUGGCGGCGUGCUUAACACAUGCAAGUGGAGCGACGAAGCGGGCUUCGGCCCGUGGCAGAGCCGCGAACGGGUGAGUAACACGUGGGUAACCUACCCCGAUGACCGGGACAACCCGAGGAAACUCGGGCUAAUACCGGAUGUUCUGCACUAUCGUGAGGGAGUUCAGCAAAGAUAGCUUCGGCCUUCGCCUCGGGACGGGCCCGCGGCCCAUUAGUUUGUUGGUGGGGUAACGGCCUACCAAGGCGACGAUGGGUAGCUGGUCUGAGAGGACGAUCAGCCACACUGGGACUGAGACACGGCCCAGACUCCUACGGGAGGCAGCAGUGGGGAAUCUUGCGCAAUGCGCGAAAGCGUGACGCAGCAACGCCGCGUGGGGGAAGAAGGCCUUCGGGUUGUAAACCCCUUUCAGUUGGGACGAAGCUUCGAGGGUUAAUAGCCCUCUGGAGUGACGGUACCUUCACAAGAAGCCCCGGCUAACUACGUGCCAGCCGCCGCGGUAAAAC
rnacentral:rRNA from 1 species